GGACAAGAGAGGGCUCUCAGUCCCUUCAGUUCUGCCGCAGGAACAAUUCCCCUCUUUUGCCCUUUAGCAUCAAUACAGUCAUUCAGAGAUUUUGUUUCUACCUGGCCUAAUUUGGAAAGAGAGUGGGCUUGGAACAAAGAACGUGCAAAUAGAAUGGAGAAUAGUAAGGAUUCAGAUCUUCUUUCCCCAUAGGGCCUGUUUAAUGAAAUUAAAUCUUUGUCCUCUGCUUUUGGAAUAAAUUAACAAAAAUAACAAAUGGGCUGUCUGCAA